rnacentral:rRNA from 1 species
AACAAACGCUGGCGGCGUGCCUAAUACAUGCAAGUCGAACGGGGAAAGCUUUCGGGUGAGUACUAGUGGCGCACGGGUGAGUAACGCGUGGAUAAUCUGCCUUAGAGUGGGGGAUAACUAGUCGAAAGAUUAGCUAAUACCGCAUAAGACCACAGGAGCUGCGGCUCAAGGGGUCAAAGGUUUUUCGCUUUAAGAUGAGUCCGCGUAAGAUUAGCUAGUUGGUGAGGUAACGGCUCACCAAGGCGACGAUCUUUAACUGGUCUGAGAGGAUGAUCAGUCACACUGGAACUGAGACACGGUCCAGACUCCUACGGGAGGCAGCAGUAGGGAAUAUUGCACAAUGGAGGAAACUCUGAUGCAGCGACGCCGCGUGAGUGAUGAAGGCCUUCGGGUCGUAAAGCUCUGUCGCAGGGGAAUAACACAAUGAAGGUACCCUGUAAGAAAGGAUCGGCUAACUUCGUGCCAGCCGCCGCAGUAACAC